CGAACGGGUGCGUAACACGUGAGCAACCUACCGAUUUGUGGGGGAUAGCCGGCCCAACGGCCGGGUAAUACCGCAUACGCUCUUUUGGUCUCAUGACUGGGAGAGGAAACCUCCGGGGCAAAUCGAGGGGCUCGCGGCCUAUCAGCUAGUUGGCGAGGUCACGGCUCACCAAGGCGACGACGGGUAGCUGGUCUGAGAGGAUGGCCAGCCACAUUGGGACUGAGAAACGGCCCAG
rnacentral:rRNA from 1 species